rnacentral:tRNA from 1 species
GUGGCUGUGGCUCAGUGGUAGUGCACUUGCCUGGCAUGUAUGAGGCACUGGGUUUGAUUCUCAGCACCACA